CCUUCAGGUGGGGAAUAACCCAGUGAAAACUGGGCUAAUACCGCAUAACAUGACGAUGGCAUAUGCUGUUGUCUUCAAAGGCGCAAGUCGCCAGAAAGAGGGAUCCGCGGCCGAUUAGCUUGUUGGCGAGGUAAUGGCUCACCAAGGCAUUGAUCGGUAGCCGGACUGAGAGGUUGGCCGGCCACACUGGAACUGAGACACGGUCCAGACUCCUACGGGAGGCAGCAGUGGGGAAUCUUGCACAAUGGACGAAAGUCUGAUGCAGCAACGCCGCGUGGGGGAUGAAGCUUUUCGGAGUGUAAACCCCUUUCGACCCGGAAGAAUGCCCGCAAGGGUUUGACGGUACGGGUAUAAGAAGCCCCGGUAACUACGUGCCAGCAGCCGCGGUAAUACGUAGGGGCCAGCGUUGCUCGGAAUUACUGGGCGUAAAGGGUCUGUAGGCGGUGCGGCAAGUCGAUAGUGAAAUCCCUAGGCUUAACCUAGGGGCUGUUAGCGAAAUUGCCGUGCUAAAGUGUGAGAGAGGCGAUGGAAUUACGGGUGUAGCGGUGAAAUGGUAGAUAUCCGAGGGAACCAUCCCGAGGGAA
rnacentral:rRNA from 1 species